UACGUAGGUGGCAAGCGUUGUCCGGAUUUAUUGGGUUUAAGGGGUGCGUAGGCGGUCCUAUAAGUCAGUGCUGAAAUAUCCCGGCUUAACCGGGAGGGUGGCAUUGAUACUGCAGGACUUGAGUAAAGUUGAGGUUGGCGGAAUUGACGGUGUAGCGGUGAAAUGCUUAGAUAUCGUCAAGAACACCUAUUGCGAAGGCAGCUAACUAAGCUUUAACUGACGCUGAGGCACGAAAGUGUGGGGAGCAAACAGG
rnacentral:rRNA from 1 species